UUCUGGUUGAUCCUGCCAGAGGCCACUGCUAUUGGGGUUCGGCUAAGCCAUGCGAGUGGAGGGCGUCCCGCAAGGGAUGGCCCCGCAGACGGCUCAGUAACACGUCGUCAACAUACCCUGGGGUGGGGGACAACCUCGGGAAACUGAGGAUAAUCCCCCAUAGGUGGGGGAGGCUGGAAUGCGCCCCUGCUGAAAGCUCAGGCGCCCUAGGACGGGGCGGCGGCCUAUCAGGUAGUUGGUGGUGUAACGGACCACCAAGCCUACGACGGGUACGGGCUGUGAGAGCAGGAGCCCGGAGAUGGGGACUGAGACAAGGCCCCAGGCCCUACGGGGCGCAGCAGGCGCGAAAACUCCGCAAUGCGCGCAAGCGUGACGGGGGAACCCCAAGUGCCGAUGGUUUUUGAUCGUCGGCUUUUCGGAAGUGUAAGGAGCUUGCGGAAUAAGGGCUGGGUAAGACUGGUGCCAGCCGCCGCGGUAAUACCAGCAGCCCAAGUGGUGGUCGCGUUUAUUGGGCCUAAAGCGCUCGUAGCCGGGCCGGUAAGUUCCCCGUGAAAUCGGGUCGCUCAACGGUUCGGCUUGCGGGGAAUACUGUCGGUCUUGGGGCCGGGAGACGCCGAGGGUACUCCGGGGGUAGCGGUGAAAUGCUGUAAUCCCUGGGGGACUACCAGUGGCGAAGGCGCUCGGCGAGAACGGGCCCGACGGUGAGGGGCGAAAGCUGGGGGAGCGAACGGGAUUAGAUACCCCGGUAGUCCCAGCCGUAAAGGAUGCGGGCAAGGUGCUUGUCGCUCUUCGAGGGCGCCAGGUGCCGUAGAGAAGUCGUUAAGCCCGCCGCCUGGGAAGUACGGUCGCAAGGCUGAAACUUAAAGAAAUUGGCGGGGGAGCACCACAAGGGGUGGGACCUGCGGUUCAAUUGGAUUCAACGCCGGA
rnacentral:rRNA from 1 species